rnacentral:rRNA from 1 species
CGACCGGCGCACGGGUGAGUAACGCGUAUGCAACCUGCCUGAUACCGGGGUAUAGCCCAUGGAAGCGUGGAUUAACACCCCAUAGUACUUUUAUCCUGCAUGGGAUGUGAGUUAAAUGUUCAAGGUAUCGGAUGGGCAUGCGUCCUAUUAGUUAGUUGGCGGGGUAACAGCCCACCAAGACGAUGAUAGGUAGGGGUUCUGAGAGGAAGGUCCCCCACAUUGGAACUGAGACACGGUCCAA